UACAGAGGAUGCAAGCGUUGUCCGGAUUUAUUGGGCGUAAAGAGCGUGUAGGCGGUUUGGUAGGUCCGCUGUGAAAACUCGAGGCUCAACCUCGAGACGCCGGUGGAAACCAUCAGACUAGAGUCCGGAAGAGGAGAGUGGAAUUCCUGGUGUAGCGGUGAAAUGCGCAGAUAUCAGGAAGAACACCCGUGGCUAAGGCGGCUCUCUGGGCCGGUACCGACGCUGAGGAGCGAAAGCGUGGGGAGCAAACAGG
rnacentral:rRNA from 1 species